rnacentral:rRNA from 1 species
AGUGAACGCUGGCGGUAGGCCUAACACAUGCAAGUCGAACGGCAGCACAGUAAUAGCUUGCUCUUACGGGUGGCGAGUGUCGGACGGGUGAGGAAUACAUCGGCAUCUACUUUUUCGUGGGGGAUAACGUAGGGAAACUUACGCUAAUACCGCAUACGACCUACGGUUGAAAGCAGGGGAUCUUCGGACCUUGCGCGAUUGAAUGAGCCGAUGUCGGAUUAGCUAGUUGGCGGGGUAAAGGCCCACCAAGGCGACGAUCCGUAGCUGGUCUGAGAGGAUGAUCAGACACACUGGAACUGAGACACGGUCCAGACUCCGACGGGAGGCAGCAGUGGGGAAGAUUGGACAAUGGGCGCAAGCCUGAUGCAGCCAUACCGCGUGGGUGAAGAAGGGAUGCGGGUGGUAAAGCCCUUUUGUUGGGAAAGAAAAGCAGCAGGUUAAUACCCCGCUGUUCUGACGGUACCCAAAGAAUAAGCACCGGCGAACUUCGU